AUGGGGUGGUCGUCCUUGGAGAAGGCGCUUCCUGCGUAUGCACCAUUGAUUGGGUGGUUUGGUCGCGUUAAUUGGUGGGUCGGACUCGAGCGGCACCUGCCGGAGCGUAGGCGACCAGGGCUGCAGGCCAGCAGCCGAGGAGUGAGGGUUGGACAGGGACUCGAGCAGCGCCGGCCGGAGCGCACCAGGCAAGAUCGAGCCGACGAGGGACUGAGGGUGGGGGUCGAGCAGCGGCGGAGGGGCGCCGCAGUGAUCAGGCGGCGCGGAGGACUUGAGGAGAGAUCAGGGCUUUUGGUCAGGGUGUGGCGACAGAUCGAACCUGUAGUCUGCCUUGGAGCAGCUGGUGGUCUCUGUUGGGCAGCUUGGAGCUACUACGCGUGCAAGUCAUGUCUGCGCACCUACGGACGCUACAUGAACGGCGAGACAAGCGGCCCGGUGGUCGGCCGGGAUGACGAGAUCGACAGUGUCGUCUCCAUUCUCUGCUGCAAGACCAAGAAUUGUGUGGCACUCGUCGGAGCCCCAGGGGUGGGCAAGACGGCCAUCGCCGAGGGCCUCGCGCAACGGAUUGCUGCUGGGAAGGUCCCUGCCGAGCUUUCCAAGGCACGUGUCGUGGAGGUUGAUCUGGGGGCCAUGGUGGCCGGCACUGUACUGCGUGUUUGA
rnacentral:rRNA from 1 species